rnacentral:rRNA from 1 species
GGGUCAGUAGGUUGGUCGUGCCACCGGUACGUACUGGUCCCACUGAUUUCUCCUUCCUGAAGAACCGUAAUGCCAUUAAUUUGGUGUUGCGGGGAAACAGGACUGUUACUUUGAAAAAAUUAGAGUGUUUAAAGCAAGCUAACGCUUGAAUACAUUAGCAUGGAAUAAUGAAAUAGGACGAUCGAUCCUAUUUUGUUGGUUUCUAGGAUUGACGUA